rnacentral:rRNA from 1 species
GUGGGGAAUAUUGGACAAUGGGCGAAAGCCUGAUCCAGCCAUGCCGCGUGUGUGAAGAAGGUCUUCGGAUUGUAAAGCACUUUAAGUUGGGAGGAAGGGCAGUAAGUUAAUACCUUGCUGUUUUGACGUUACCGACAGAAUAAGCACCGGCUAACUUCGUGCCAGCAGCCGCGGUAAUACGAAGGGUGCAAGCGUUAAUCGGAAUUACUGGGCGUAAAGCGCGCGUAGGUGGUUUUGUAAGGUGGAGGUGAAAUCCCCGUGCUCAACCUGGGAACUGCCUCCAAAACUGCAUGACUAGAGUACGGUAGAGGGUAGUGGAAUUUCCUGUGUAGCGGUGAAAUGCGUAGAUAUAGGAAGGAACACCAGUGGCGAAGGCGACUACCUGGACUGAUACUGACACUGAGGUGCGAAAGCGUGGGGAGCAAACAGGAUUAGAAACCCUUGUAGUCC